AUGAAGAGGCUGCUGUGCUCUCUGCUGGGGCUGCUGUGCUCCCAGGUUUGCUGGGUGAAAGGGCAACAAGUGGAGCAGAGUCCUGAGUCCUUGGUUCUGCAGGAGGGAGAGAGUGCAGAGCUGCAGUGCAAGUUUUCCACAGUUUUGAACAGUAUGCAGUGGUUUUAUCAAAGUCCUGGGGGACCCCUCAUCAGCCUGCUCUCCAAUUCUUCUGGAUCAGAGCAGAUUGGAAGACUGAAGUCCAUGACAGUCACUCAGGAACCUGGUAGCUCUUUGUGCAUUUCCUCCUCUCAGACCACAGACUCAGACACUUAUUUCUGUGCUAUGGAUGCAAGGUGUCCCCACACACCUGCAGCCAGUACACAAAGCUUAACCACUCACAGGACCUAUCACGAAGCUACAACAGAACUUUCUGCCUGGUUUAGUAUCCCCUUUCUUGUGUUGGUAGAAAUUUAA